GACGAACGCUGGCGGCGUGCUUAACACAUGCAAGUCGAACGGAAAGGCCCUGCUUUUGUGGGGUGCUCGAGUGGCGAACGGGUGAGUAACACGUGAGUAACCUGCCCUUGACUUUGGGAUAACUUCAGGAAACUGGGGCUAAUACCGGAUCGGAGCUCCUGCUGCAUGGAGGGGGUGGGAAAGUUUCGGCGGUUGGGGAUGGACGCGCGGCUUAUCAGCUUGUUGGGGGGGUAGUGGCUUACCAAGGCUUUGACGGGUAGCCGGCCUGAGAGGGGGACCGGCCACAUGGGGACUGAGAUACGGCCCAGACUCCUACGGGAGGCAGCAGUGGGGAAUAUUGCACAAUGGGCGGAAGCCUGAUGCAGCAACGCCGCGUGCGGGAUGACGGCCUUCGGGUUGUAAACCGCUUUCGCCUGUGACGAAGCGUGAGUGACGGUAAUGGGUAAAGAAGCACCGGCUAACUACGUG
rnacentral:rRNA from 1 species